rnacentral:rRNA from 1 species
UACGUAGGGGGCAAGCGUUGUUCGGAAUGACUGGGCGUAAAGGGUGCGUAGGCGGUGUGGCAAGUUAGAAGUGAAAUACCUAGAGCUUAACUCAGGUGCUGCUUCUAAAACUGCUAUACUUGAGUGCAGUAGAGGAAAGUGGAAUUCCUAGUGUAGCGGUGGAAUGCGUAGAUAUUAGGAGGAACAUCAGUGGCGAAGGCGACUUUCUGGACUGUAACUGACGCUGAGGCACGAAAGUGUGGGGAGCAAACAGG